GUGGAAAAGGAACGUGAUAAAGAAGUCAGUGAUGAUGAGGCAGAAGAAAAGGAAGACAAGGAGGAGGAGAAAGAAAAAGAAGAAAAGGAAUCUGAUGACAAACCUGAAAUAGAAGAUGUUGGUUCUGAUGAAGAAGAAGAGGAGAAGAAAGAUGGUGACAAGAAGAAGAAGAAGAAGAUUAAGGAAAAGUACAUUGAUCAUGAAGAGCUCAACAAAACAAAGCCUAUUUGGACCAGAAAUCCUGAUGAUAUAACUAAUGAGGAGUAUGGAGAAUUCUAUAAGAGCUUGACCAAUGACUGGGAAGAUCACUUGGCAGUGAAGCACUUUUCAGUUGAAGGACAGUUGGAAUUCAGAGCUCUGCUUUUUGUCCCAAGACGUGCUCCUUUUGACCUAUUUGAAAACAGAAAGAAAAAGA